CCCUUAGAUGUUCUGGGCCGCACGCGCGCUACACUGACGAUGGCAACGAGUUUUUCCUUCGCCGAAAGGUGUGGGUAAUCUUUUGAAACAUCGUCGUGCUGGGGAUAGAUCAUUGCAAUUUUUGAUCUUGAACGAGGAAUUCCUAGUAAGCGCGAGUCAUCAUCCCGCGCUGAAUACGUCCCUGCCCUUUGUACACACCGCCCGUCGCUCCUACCGAUUGAGUGGUCCGGUGAGGCUUUGGGAUCUGAGCGGAAAGAGCGUUUCGCUGUUUCUGCCCGGAAAACUCAGUCGAACCUUAUCAUUUAGAGGAAGGAGAAGUCGUAACA
rnacentral:rRNA from 1 species